AGAGCUUGUUUUCCUAGAAUAGUUUUAUAUUGUUUUAUGCAUUGCUUCCCCACCUCCUCCUAUUUGUUGCAUAAUAAAGAAAAAUUACAUAAUUGUGGAUGUGGGCUACCCUGUCCCUCACUUGAGGAACAAGCCAGUUCAUAGUGGUUAUAGUCGAUACCAGAUAAGAACAGCAGCUGGAUGAAGAGCCAGGAGGCAGAAGAAGGAAGCGAGACCCUAAGGAUCAGGCUGAAAAAUAAUGGUUUGAACACAGAGGGGGUGUCAGAAGAUGAGGGACAAGGAAAAUACCCUCAAGAAUGAGGAGCAUGGGAUAAAAGAUAAAAGCACGUGUUUGAAAACCAGCAGGCAACACAGGAUACCUGGACUAUCUGGAUUGGGACUGAAACCCUUUGUGGUUGCCACUGGAGUCCCAUGCAGGAUUUGAACAAUUGAAGGAAGUGGUCACACAUCCUCGUGAUAUAGCACCCCAUCAACCCAGUGUCUGAUGAAUUCUUCCAGCUUUGUGCUGAGUCCUUGGCUUGAUCUUUGUCAAGUUCCUUGAAAGUGCAGUCAGAAGGGAGCUGCCAUGCAAAGGCUUUGCUGAACUUGUGAGGUAACAUUUGCUCACCAGUGACUUUUGUUCCUUCUACUCUGCUUCAGACACUUGUUUCUUGGGAAUCCAGCUUGGAGAACUAUUUCUGGAGCCAUUAUUAGCACUACAUAGUGUGGCUUUGCUGUUGUUGGCUUAUGCUUUUUGUCUGGUAGCAGAUGUGGGACAUGAUGAGAAUUCAGCAUUGCUGAUUCUCCUUUCCCUCUGGGUUCACUCUUGAUGAUGUGUAUGUGAACAGAAGCAACCAAGAUAUUACAACUUAGGAAAUCGUGGGGAGCUGCAAUGAUUUUGUGUUCUCAGUCUGUCCCAUCUGUAUAGAUAUUUGUAACCAAUUAAUUCACCAUGGAUCCACAACACUUAAAAAUUAUCCACUACUCCUGGGUUAAUCAAUGCUAUGACUCAAAAGAAGGGAAAAAGAAGAGAAACUGACUAAAGCUGAGGAAGGUGUGAGACCAGAAACACACAUUUUGUACCUUGGUGAUAUUCCAGAUGGAGCCAGACACACUGCAGGUCACAGACACUGUAAGACCUACAGCACAGUCUUCAUAGGGGAACUCAGAGGCUCUUCCCACUCCUGCUGCACUGCAAAGACCUUUCCUGGAAGAGCCUUCUUUUCCUGGAAAAACCGUCCCCAUUACCUGCCCCCAGUGUUGUCCAUGCAGGACCCACACAAAAAGUUGGCAAAGGUGGUGGAAGACUGUACCCCAGAAGCUUUGUCUGAAGACAUAUUCAGAGACCUGCACUUCAAUCUCCUGCUCAGACUAGAUGGGCUAUCCCCAACACUUUACAAAGCUGGCCACUUCAUAUACAUUGAUUUACCUGUGUUCUGAGGAUGGAGAUAACUCUGGGACCAGACCCAGGGCUGGUCCUUCUUUCCUGUUAGAAUCUUAGAUGCUGACAAUUUUAACCUUUCUGUGUUUAAAGGCAUAGACCCACAAGAGAAAACUACAUUUGACCUGAAGCCAUGGAACAGGCUUCCAAAAUUAAUUGAUAGUACUGAGAUUAUGGGCGUGUAGUUGGUUAGAAGUAUGUAAUAUCACAGGGUGGAAAACUUAGAGUUUGGAGUUUUAGAAUGUAGAAAUAUAUAUGAAGCAAGAUGGAAGUUUUAUGGUGGAGGCAAGUUGUUUUUCUUUACCUUAUUCUUCCUUCUUCAUGGGUUUGGGUGAUGUUUUGUAAUUAAAGAGAAAAGUCUGCACUGUGGGCUUCGAGGGAUCAGUUAUUGAGUUAAAAGGGAAAAUAAUCUGUGUCCUUUCUUAAUUAGAUAAUUUAGUCUUAAGAGACCUUGUAACAAGAGAUAGUUAGCCAUUUUGUGCCUUGCUAAUAAAAGGCUGCAGAACUCAUAUUCAUGAGCCUGUUUUACUGAUGAGAAAUAAUAAACACCUGAGUCCAAACAUGAACUACUGUCUCAAGUGCCUUCAAUCCUGACCUCGAGAAAUUUAUACAUCCCAGCUGUUUUAAGUGUAAAAUAGUGUAGAAAAUGCAAAGCUCAGUAUGCCGUGGGACACACAGGUGGAAGCAUGGAAAGUAGAUGGUGGCCUUGAGUUUUGUGUCACUGUGGCAUUGUUGCAUGGGAUUAUGGAGUGAGUCAUAGGCUGUAUGGUCUCAUUCUUCUUCCCCAUACCCACAAAUAUCAAGUACAUCUCUUAUCAAGAAAUAUUCUGUGCAGCAUGCCCACAAAGAAUGGAAGAUUUGACCACAGUCACAACCACAGUCCUUUGCACAAUAAUGGUUAACAAGGUAUAAAAUUUACCCCAAUGCUGCAUCUAACCAGAGGAUCAGAACUGGACAUGAAAUUGCAGGGACAGGUUGACAGAUGUGUUCUCUUCACCCACCCUGGAACAGACACCUUUUGGUAAGCCCUGUGUCCUCAGCUGUGUGAGUGUUGACAUGGGAUAUUAAGCUUGUGAUUGCAAUUGUACUGCUGGUGCAAUGUGUAAUUGCUCUGCAUUAUCACCAGCAAACCAAAAACCCUGAUGUGUUGCAUUCAAUAAAUCAUGAUUUGUGAAUCCCAUAA